rnacentral:pre_miRNA from 1 species
UACUGCAUCAGGAACUGAUCGGAUAAGUAUCUGUCACCAUCAGUUCCUAAUGCACUGCC